AGUGAACGCUGGCGGUAGGCCUAACACAUGCAAGUCGAACGGCAGCACAGUAAGAGCUUGCUCUUACGGGUGGCGAGUGGCGGACGGGUGAGGAAUACAUCGGCAUCUACUUUUUCGUGGGGGAUAACGUAGGGAAACUUACGCUAAUACCGCAUACGACCUACGGGUGAAAGCAGGGGAUCUUCGGACCUUUCGCGAUUGAAUGAGCCGAUGUCGGAUUAGCUAGUUGGCAGGGUAAAGGCCCACCAAGGCGACGAUCCGUAGCUGGUCUGAGAGGAUGAUCAGCCACACUGGAACUGAGACACGGUCCAGACUCCUACGGGAGGCAGCAGUGGGGAAUAUUGGACAAUGGGCGCAAGCCUGAUCCAGCCAUACCGCGUGGGUGAAGAAGGCCUUCGGGUUGUAAAGCCCUUUUGUUGGGGAAGAAAAGCAGCAGGUUAAUACCCCGCUGUUCUGACGGUACCCAAAGAAUAAGCACCGGCUAACUUCGUG
rnacentral:rRNA from 1 species